AUCAUAUGAGUUUGACAAACAAAAAAUCAAAAAAUAGAAGGAAAAUUUGUAAACAUUAAGUCAACCUUUUGGCCGUCUGCUUUUAUUACGUCAUCCUUUUGAUUAUUUCUAAACACGUCAACCUUAUAGUACCAUUAAUUUAUAUUACGUAUUUUACUGGUUACCUGAUAAACCCUUAAUAUUGUUUGAACUUGUGGGAUGGAAAAUCUGACUUGCCAUUUUAACCCCUACAAAAAAAUAAAAAUUGUCAUUUUAUGAUGCCAACUCAUCAAGACUAUAAUCCAAUUUUACUAAAAAAAAAAAAAGACUAAUACUAUACUCCAAUUUUGCAAACUCACGGUUCCUCCUUUUUCACCAUCUUCCUUUCAUCAUCAUACUACUACUCCAUUGAACACAAUACUAUACAAUUCUUCCUUUAAUUUAUCUUCAUUCCUUUAAUCACCUUAUAUUCUUCUUUUCUCUUUAAACUCCAUUAAUUAAAACCCACUCCAUACUCCAGGUGGUGAAUGCAGUAGAAGAUGUUUCGAGUAUAAUUGGGCAAAUUUUAAGGUGAAAAUGGUGGACCAAAUACUUGAUAUUGUGGCAUUAAGGUUUUGGCAUGGUGGUCAGUUUAAAGUGAUGGAUAAUGGACAGUUGGUGUAUUUUGGAGAAAAACGUAAAACAUUUGACCUUGAUCCUGAUGAGAUGAGUUAUUUUAAUGUGGUUGACUUGGCUAAGAAGUGUGGUGGUUACAACAAUGUAGAUGAAAUUUCAUACUUAGUGCCUGGGUUGAAAUUGGAUGAUGGGUUAAGGAAAAAAAAAAUUUGCAGGUAAGUGGUAGAAGAGGCUUCGGAAGGGUUCUGACCACUCAAUCAAGUCAAGUUUGAUCAAGAUACUAAAUUUGUGAGAAAUCAUGACCCUUGAUUUGUGAGAAAUCAUAGUUUUAGAUUAUUAUUAAUAUAUUAUAUACAAUGAAGGUUAGCAAGAGAUUGAAUAAAAAAAAAUCCAUGAUUGAAGAAGGCACAUAUGUGCCACUUUAAGGCUCAUAAUUAUUCUUUGUGAGGUUCAGGUACACAAAUGCGUACGUUGUAUCAAAAAAAAAAAAAAAAAAAAUUCAAACAACAUUCGUCUUUUUUUUUUUUGAAAAAAAAAAUUCAAACGUAAGAAAAUAAUGAUAUUAUAAGAUUAACGUGUUAAAAAAUAAUCAAAAGAUUGACAUAAUAAAAGCGAACAAUCAAAAGGUUGACUUAUUAUUUACAUGUUUUCCUUUUUUGGAAAAUUACAUCAGCCUUUUUACCUCCACCUAAUACUCCACGUAAGCAAUUAACUUGCUUUUGCAAAUCAUUUUAUAUUUUAACGUAAUAAAAAUUAGUGGUAAUACAAGGUUGACGUGUUUAAAAAUAAUCAAAAGGUUGACGUAAUAAAAGCGGACGUCCAAAAUGUUGACUUAAUAAUUACAAAUUUUCCAAAACAGAAAGUCAAACGAUGGCAAACGAACCCUUAGUUAUUAUCCUUCUAGUCUUAUAUAUGCGAUGAAAAAACCAAUAAGUAGAACCUGCUCAUUCUAGGAAAAUGGUGACUGGGACGGGUUGCAAGCUACUUUACAAGGAUAGAAAGCAUGUGUUUAAUCAUAGAGGAAGAUAAAUAAACUGCGUAUCGAUUGUUAAAUGUACAAAGCGCCAAUUUUUCAUUGGUGCUAUGAACUGUAUAUGUAUAGUAUUUGAUGCAUAAUUGAAACUUAAAUUUUCGCUA